CUUGGAAUAAAAGUAAUAAAUACAGGAUGGCAGAGACAAAAUAAAGCUUAAGAAGAGUGAUGGAAAGGUAGAAACAGACUUGGAAAAGAUAAAAAUGGCUUGCAUUAUGUGGUUACUUUUGACCUGAAUGAGCUGCAGAGAAUGCUACUCUCUCAGAUUUUGAAGAAGUUGGGAUCGUGCUUGCUUUUUACAUUUCAUUUUCUCCCUAUCACUGAAGAGCUGAACAAACAAGUCUACCGCCAAAAAGAAGGUGGUCUGCUGGAUUGACUGCAUUCAGUCUCCAUAGUUGUUUUAUGAGUACCAAGGUGGCAGAAGACGCUUCUCUGCUGAAUGCCGCUCCCACAGGACACUGAGCACUGAAGAGCUCCAAAGAAGGCAAAGCAGGCACAACAUGACAUUUUGAGCCCAAGCAAAAAGCAAAUCAGCAGGGUCUGUUGGUGACCAGAUGUUUAUGGAGUCAGGACAGCUAAAGCCUAUUGUACUGAAUCAGUUCAAUCAUUACUGUGGCCAAGCCCACCUUACAAUAUUUACUGCUCUCCCUCCUUCCCUUGGUAUCUGUAGGAGUAACAAACCUCCUACUUAUGUGAAAAUUUCCAAUAGAUCUUUUGACACUUAGCCCAGCUGGAUAAAAUGAGAUGUACUGCAUACUCUUCUGCAUUUUGUGAACUAGCAUCAUGGGCUGAAGAUCUCUGUAAAAGACAUUCAGAAAGGACUAACAAAGUACUAGUUCCCAAGCUGUGCGCAAUGUCCACCUUGCUAGAAAAUGAAUAUGAAAAGUUAAAAACUGAACCAGCACUCCCUUUAUAGGUUUCAGCUGAAGUAAAGUUAAAUGCUCUUGGCAGUUAUGCCUUCCUUGCUUGAGGACUCAUUCCGUAACACUUUGCAAAGCAGAAGAAAAAAUGGCUUCAUUACACAGCAAACAACUGAACACAGUAGCAGGUAAGACUACAGGCCUAGGAGUUCUCUCAAAGAAGGAAAGACAAAAUUGCUUAGCUCCCAUGGGUUUUAGUACAGGAAACCCAAGCAGCAAGGAAAAUAAAGAGAGACCAAGAGCAAUGUGGAAAGAA